UCAAGAGAACAAGGGCACACGGUGGAUGCCUUGGCACUUAGAGCCGAUGAAGGAUGUGGGCGGCUGCGAUAAGCCUGGGGGAGACGCUGACCAGUCAUUGAUCCCAGGAUUUCCGAAUGAGGAAACUCACCCGUGGUAAUGCGCGGGUACCCGUACCUGAAUACAUAGGGUACGAGGAGGCAAGCUGGGGAACUGAAACAUCUAAGUACCCAGAGGAAAGGAAAGAAACCUCGACUCCCUGAGUAGUGGCGAGCGAAAAGGGAAGAGCCCAAACCUAUGCGACGUGAUAGACGGCAGUCGUUGUCGUGUAGGGGUUGUAGGGCUCGUCUUCAUCCGUCUGCCGGCGGGGGGGGGAGUUACAAAGUUGUGCGUUAGCCGAAGUGGAUGGAAAGCCACGCCACAGAAGGUAACGGCCCUGUAGGCGAAAACGUACAGCCUCCCUUGACGAGUACCUGAGUACGGCCGGUCACGUGAAACCCGGUCGGAACCCGCGGGGACCACCCCGCAAGGCUAAGUACUCCUCAGUGACCGAUAGUGAACUAGUACCGUGAGGGAAAGGUGAAAAGUACCCCGGAAGGGGAGUGAAAUAGUACCUGAAACCGUGUGCUUACAAGCGGUCGGAGCGGACUUGUUCCGUGACGGCGUGCCUUUUGCAUAAUGAGCCAGCGAGUUAGUCUUCCACGGCAAGGUUAAGGAAACGGAGCCGUAGCGAAAGCGAGUCUGAAUAGGGCGAUUCAGUCGUGGGAGCUAGACCCGAAACUGAGUGAUCUACCCAUGGGCAGGUUGAAGCGGGGGUAAGACCCCGUGGAGGACCGAACCCACGUCGGUUGAAAACGGCGGGGAUGACCUGUGGGUCGGAGUGAAAGGCUAAUCAAACUCAGAGAUAUCUGGUUCUCCCCGAAAUAUAUUUAGGUAUAGCGUCGCGUGUUCAAUACCGGUUGUAGAGCACUGUUUGGUCUAGGGGGCCUACCAGCUUACCGAAAUCAGGCAAACUCCGAAUGCCGGUAUUCCAGAGCGCGGCAGUCAGAGUGCGAGGGAUAAGCUUCGUGCUCAAAAGGGAAACAGCCCAGACCGUCGGCUAAGGCCCCUAAUUCCUAGCUAAGUGGGAAACGAUGUCCGAUUGCACAGACAACCAGGAUGUUGGCUUAGAAGCAGCCACCAUUAAAAGAGUGCGUAACAGCUCACUGGUCAAGUGGUCGGGCGCGGACAAUGUAACGGGGCUCAAGCUAGGAGCCGAAGCCACGGACUUCGCGCAAGCGGAGUGGUAGGGGAGCGUUCCCUGGCCGGUGAAGCGGCGGCGUAAGCCAGCCGUGGAGGCCUGGGAAGUGAGAAUGCUGGCAUGAGUAACGAAAGAGGAGUGAGAAACUCCUCCGCCGAAUGCCCAAGGGUUCCUGAGUAAAGCUAAUCUGCUCAGGGUUAGUCGGGACCUAAGCCGAGGCCGCAAGGCGUAGGCGAUGGACAACAGGUUGAUAUUCCUGUACCACGUCCCCACCGCUAUCACCGAUGGCGGGACGGGGUAGGCUAGGGGAUCCCCGGCGAUGGUCGUCCGGGGGUAACCGCGUAGGGCGGGCGAUAGGUAAAUCCGUCGCCCACUAAGCCUGAGACGGGAUGCCGAGCUCCGUGAGGAGCGAAGUCCUUGAAGCCAUGCCUCCUAGAAAAGCGUCUAGGGAGGUGGGACGUGCCCGUACCAAAACCGACACAGGUGGGCAGGUAGAGAAUACCAAGGCGAUCGGAAGAACCCUCGUUAAGGAACUCGGCAAAAUGGCCCCGUAACUUCGGGAGAAGGGGCGCCCCGGUAGGGUGACGCGGAUUUACUCCGCUGAGUCCGAGGGGGCCGCAGUGAAACGGCCCAAGCGACUGUUUACCAAAAACACAGGUCUCUGCUAAGUCGUAAGACGACGUAUAGGGGCUGACGCCUGCCCGGUGCUGGAAGGUCACGAGGAGAGGUUAGCCUUCGGGCGAAGCUUUGAAUCCAAGCCCCAGUAAACGGCGGCGGUAACUAUAACCGUCCUAAGGUGACAAGUCUGCAAUGGACAGUGCAGUGUCCGCAGGCGAUUCGUUGCCCCCCGCGUGAGUAAUUGCGCGGUGCGCAUUUGGCUAUAUGCUGGAAAACCCGUGUAUCUCGCACUACCUCGUGACGUCCGAUCGGACGUUUACCAUGGUGACAACGUGACGAGUGCGGAAAAUCAGCAGGAAAGACUGAUCGAGUUCCGUGGUUGGGUGAUCGGUUUCGUAGACGGAGAAGGAUGCUUCUCAAUCGGCCUCGCCCGGCAAGCAAGCCGGCCCGGUCGAAGCGGCUACACGACCGGAUACCAGGUCUCACACGAUUUUGUGGUGACGCAGGGCGCCAGUAGCGUCUCGUGUCUUCACGACCUGUGUGAGUUCUUCGGAGCGGGGAAGGUGUACGUGAACCGGCGGCAUGACAACCACCGGGAACACCUUCACCGUUACGUCGUUUGUCGUCGAGAGGAUCUGCUCGAACGGAUCAUUCCGUUCUUCCGGCAGUAUCCGCUUCGAACGGCCAAGCAGUUCGACUUCGAGAAGUUCUCUUUCUGUGUCGAGCUGAUGGCUGAAGGUCGACACAAGACGCACGCUGGUCUUGCGGAGAUCGUUGAGGUCAUGCAGACGAUGAAUCGACGGAAACCCAGGCACGAGCUCCUCAGUAUCCUCAGAGGCCAUACGCCAGACAUCCAGGCCAC
rnacentral:rRNA from 1 species